rnacentral:rRNA from 1 species
GAGCGAAUCCGAGGGAGCUUGAUCCCAAAGAUUAGCGGCGGACGCGUGAGUAACUCGUGGGCAACCUGCCUGUAAGACUGGGAUAACUUCGGGAAACCGGAGCUAAUACCGGGAUAAUUCUUAUCAACUCAUGUUGGUAAGCUAAAAGACGGCGCAAGCUGUCACUUACAGAUGGGCCCGCGGCGCAUUAGCUAGUUGGUGAGGUAACGGCUCACCAAGGCAACGAUGCGUAGCCGACCUGAGAGGGUGAUCGGCCACACUGGGACUGAGACACGGCCCAGACUCCUACGGGAGGCAGCAGUAGGGAAUCUUCCGCAAUGGACGAAAGUCUGACGGAGCAACGCCGCGUGAGUGAUGAAGGUUUUCGGAUCGUAAAACUCUGUUGUUAGGGAAGAACAAGUACGAGAGUAACUGCUCGUACCUUGACGGUACCUAACCAGAAAGCCACGGCUAACUACGUGCCAGCAGCCGCGGUAAU